rnacentral:rRNA from 1 species
CAUUAAAGAGUUCUAUAACUCCCAAACCCAUGUGAACAUACCUAACGUUGCCUCGGCAGGUCGCACCUACCUUGUAGCACCCUACCCUGUAGGGCCUACCCGGGAGGUGCGGGUAAGCCUGCCGGCGGCCCACCAAACUCUGUUUGAUAUUGAAUUCUGAACCUAUAACUAAAUAAGUUAAAACUUUCAACAACGGAUCUCUUGGUUCUGGCAUCGAUGAAGAACGCAGCGAAAUGCGAUAAGUAAUGUGAAUUGCAGAAUUCAGUGAAUCAUCGAAUCUUUGAACGCAUAUUGCGCCCAUUAGUAUUCUAGUGGGCAGGACCGUUCGAGCGUCAUUUCAACCCUUAAGCCUUCGUUGCUUAGUGUUGGGAGCCUACGGCAACGUAGCUCCUCAAAGUUAGUGGCGGAGUUGGUUCACACUCUAGACGUAGUAAUUUUUUAUCUCGCCUAUUAGUUGGACUAAUCCCCUGCCGUAAAACCCCCAAUUUAUCAAGGUUGACCUCGAAUCGGUUCAGACAAACUCGCUAAAUUGAAGCAUCUUAGUCAGCGAAGGAAAAGAAACCAACAGGGAUUGCCCUAGUAACGGCGAGUGAAGCGGCAACAGCUCAAAUUUGAAAUCUGGCCCUCGGGUCCGAGUUGUAAUUUGUAGAGGAUGCUUUUGGCGCGGUGCCUUCCGAGUUCCCUGGAACGGGACGCCUUAGAGGGUGAGAGCCCCGUACGGUUGGACACCAAGCCUCUGUAAAGCUCCUUCGACGAGUCGAGUAGCUUGGGAAUGCUGCUCUAAAUGGGAGGUAAAUUUCUUCUAAAGCUAAAUAUUGGCCAGAGA